rnacentral:rRNA from 1 species
AUUGAACGCUGGCGGCAGGCCUAACACAUGCAAGUCGAGCGAGAGGAGGACGGGUGAGUAAUGUAUGGGAAACUGCCUGAUGGAGGGGGAUCACUACUGGAAAAGGUAGCUAAUACCGCAUACCAUCAGAGGUGCCCAGAUGGGAUUAGCUAGGUGGUGGGGUAACGGCUAACCAAGGCGACGAUCCCUAGCUGGUCUGCGAGGAUGACCAGCCACACUGGAACUGAGACACGGUCCAUACUCCUACGGGAGGCAGCAGUGGGGAAUAUUGCACAAUGGGCGCAAGCCGUAUGCAGCCAUGUCGCGUGUAUGAAGAAGGCCUUCGGGUUGUAAAGUACUUUCAGCGGGGAGGCGUGACCCGCAGAAGAAGCACCGGCUAACGCCGUGCCAGCAGCCGCGGUAAUUC